UACGAAGGGGGCUAGCGUUGCUCGGAAUCACUGGGCGUAAAGCGCACGUAGGCGGAUUGUUAAGUCAGGGGUGAAAUCCUGGAGCUCAACUCCGGAACUGCCUUUGAUACUGGCGAUCUUGAGUCCGGGAGAGGUGAGUGGAACUGCGAGUGUAGAGGUGAAAUUCGUAGAUAUUCGCAAGAACACCAGUGGCGAAGGCGGCUCACUGGCCCGUUACCGACGCUCAGGCGCGACAGCGUGGGGAGCAAACAGG
rnacentral:rRNA from 1 species